UACGUAGGGUGCAAGCGUUAAUCGGAAUUACUGGGCGUAAAGCGUGCGCAGGCGGUUUUGUAAGACAGGUGUGAAGUCCCCGGGCUUAACCUGGGAACUGCAUUUGUGACUGCAAGGCUGGAGUGCGGCAGAGGGGGAUGGAAUUCCGCGUGUAGCAGUGAAAUGCGUAGAUAUGCGGAGGAACACCGAUGGCGAAGGCAAUCCCCUGGGCCUGCACUGACGCUCAUGCACGAAAGCGUGGGGAGCAAACAGG
rnacentral:rRNA from 1 species